UUGACCCACUACUGAGCGGUCUCACCCUCAUCAGGGACUGGUUUAUAGAGUCAGUGAUAGACUUUAAACCACAUUGUUUUCGGGUCACCUAUUUGUCCAUUUGUUAUCUGGACUCUGUGUGACUGGGGGCUUCAUUAUAUUGAACUGCUUUCCCAGUCAUUUUGGUCCUUUGCCUGCUUUUAUAUUCAGUGAGCUUUUUACACAAUUUUGGGAUUAUCUGUAAAAAACAUCUGGCAC